rnacentral:rRNA from 1 species
AUUGAACGCUGGCGGCAGGCCUAACACAUGCAAGUCGAAUGGUAACAGGAAACAGCUUGCUGUUUCGCUGACGAGUGGCGGACGGGUGAGUAAUGUCUGGGAAACUGCCUGAUGGAGGGGGAUAACUACUGGAAACGGUAGCUAAUACCGCAUAACGUCGCAAGCCCAAAGAGGGGGACCUUCGGGCCUCUUGCCAUCAGAUGUGCCCAGAUGGGAUUCGCUAGUAGGUGGGGUAACGGCUCACCUGGGCGACGAUCCCUAGCUGGUCUGAGAGGAUGACCGGCCACACUGGAACGGAGACACGGUCCAGAGGCCUACGGGAGGGAGCAGUGGGGAAUAGUGCACAAUGGGCGGAAGCCUGAUGCAGCCAGGCCGCGUGUAUGAAGAAGGCCUUCGGGUUGUAAAGUACUUUCAGCGGGGAGGAAGGGAGUAAAGUUAAGACCUUGGCUCAGUGACGUUACCCGCAGAAGAAGCACCGGCUAACUCCGUG